rnacentral:rRNA from 1 species
AGCAGCCGCGGUAAUUCCAGCUCCAAUAGCGUAUAUUAAAGUUGUUGCAGUUAAAAAGCUCGUAGUUGAAUUUCGAGACCGGCUUACUGGUCGUGCUAUUGUACGUACUGGUAUAAUCGGUUUCUCCUUUCUGACGAACUAUAAUGCCAUUAAUUUGGUGUUUUAGGGAAUCAGGACUGUUACUUUGAAAAAAUUAGAGUGUUUAAAGCAGGCUCACGCUUGAAUACAUUAGCAUGGAAUAACGGAAUAGGACGUUUGAUUCUAUUUUGUUGGUUUCUAGGAUCGACGUAAUGAUUAAUAGGGAUAGUUGGGGGCAUUAGUAUUCAAUUGUCAGAGGUGAAAUUCUUGGAUUUAUUGAAGACUAACUACUGCGAAAAGCAUUUGCCAAGGAUGUUUUCAUUAAUCAAGAACGAAAGUUGGGGGAUCGAAGACGAUCAGAUACCGUCGUAGUCUUAACCAUAAACUAUGCCGACUAGGGAUCGGAUGAUGUAAUUUUUUAAAUGAACUCAUUCGGCGCCUU